rnacentral:rRNA from 1 species
AUCGAACGCUGGCGGAAUGCUUUACACAUGCAAGUCGAACGGUAGAGGGGGCAACCCCUCGAGAGUGGCGAACGGGUGAGUAAUAUAUCGGAACGUGCCCAGUCGUGGGGGAUAACGUAGCGAAAGUUACGCUAAUACCGCAUACGAUCUAAGGAUGAAAGCGGGGGAUCGCAAGACCUCGCGCGAUUGGAGCGGCCGAUAUCAGAUUAGGUAGUUGGUGGGGUAAAGGCUCACCAAGCCAACGAUCUGUAGCUGGUCUGAGAGGACGACCAGCCACACUGGAACUGAGCCACGGUCCAGACUCCUACGGGAGGCAGCAGUGGGGAAUUUUGGACAAUGGACGCAAGUCUGAUCCAGCCAUUCCGCGUGCAGGAUGAAGGCCCUCGGGUUGUAAACUGCUUUUGUACGGAACGAAAAGGUCUCUCUUAAUACGGGGGGCUCAUGACGGUACCGUAAGAAUAAGCACCGGCUAACUACGUGCCAGCCGCCGCGGUAA